rnacentral:rRNA from 1 species
GGUUUGACAUCCCUCGAAUCUCUGUGAAAGCGGAGAGUGCCUUCGGGAGCGAGGAAACAGGUGGUGCAUGGCUGUCGUCAGCUCGUGUCGUGAGAUGUUGGGUUAAGUCCCGCAACGAGCGCAACCCACGUUUUCAGUUGCCAGCAUUAAGUUGGGGACUCUGGAGAGACUGCCGGUGACAAACCGGAGGAAGGUGUGGACGACGUCAAGUCAUCAUGCCCCUUACAUCCUGGGCUACACACGUACUACAAUGGUUAGGACAAAGGGCAGCGAAACCGCGAGGUGGAGCAAAACUCAUAAACCUAGCCUCAGUUCAGAUUGCAGGCUGCAACUCGCCUGCAUGAAGGAGGAAUCGCUAGUAAUCGCAGGUCAGCAUACUGCGGUGAAUACAUUCCCGGGCCUUGUACACACCGCCCGUCACACCAUGGGAGUUGGCCACGCCCGAAGUCGUUACCCUAACCGUUCGCGGAGG